UACGUAGGGUCCGAGCGUUGUCCGGAGUUACUGGGCGUAAAGCGCGCGCAGGCGGCGUCGCAAGUCUGGCGUGAAAGCCCCCGGCUCAACCGGGGAGGGUCGUCGGAUACUGCGGUGCUUGAGGUAGGCAGGGGUCGGUGGAAUGCCCGGUGUAGUGGUGAAAUGCGUAGAGAUCGGGCGGAACACCCGUGGCGAAGGCGGCCGACUGGGCCUUACCUGACGCUGAGGCGCGAAGGCGUGGGGAGCGAACGGG
rnacentral:rRNA from 1 species